CUAGGCUGGAGAAAGAGGAAACACGUUGGUCUGCGCACUCAGAGCCGAGUCAAAUGUGCAGGAAGAUUCCCCCAAACUGAAAGAAGGUCAACAGCAAAUUUGAGGCAGUGGAUAUGAGGAUAGAGGAGACACUCCUGAAGACUUCACUUUCUCCAUUUCUGUACUUGAAUUUUUACACCAAGCAUACAGCUUGAAAAAAUUAAAUGAGUAUGCAGUAUUUUAAAAAUCAACAAAAGCUUCACAUUUUAAUUUUCACUUGAAAAAAAAACAUGAGUGGUACUCAGCAGAACAACAACUAUAUCGUAUAAGCUGCAUCAGAGACAAAUGAAGAUGAAAAAACUAUCCUCCUAUAUAACUAAUCUGUGCUGUGCCCCAACAAAGCCUGCUUUAAAUUUCCGUGCCAAUUACAACCCCCAUUCUGUAUCAGGCAAGGGAAAGUGCAGCAGGAGGAACAAAAGUCUAAGAAGAAAUAAUGCAAAUAGCACUGAAUGGGGACUGGUGACUGCUAAAAGAAUUUUUUGGAGAGGAAACAUCAGUGAUACUUAGAAGAGAAACUCCAUGAUGGUCACUGGGUUGGUCACUGGAUACUCAGGCAGAUAGAGGGGGUAAAAAAAAAUUAAAAAGAACUUUGGCACAAAUUUCUGGAGGACCCAGUAACCCAUCAAGUUGGUUGGGAUAACAUAUUUAGAAGAGUUAAUCUAGGAUUAAUUUUAAAGAAGAAAAAGUAAUCUGAAUUUGGUAUGAUCCAUAAAUCCAGGUAAACUAGGAAAUACCCAUUCUCUUC